AGCUCUCAUUUUCAAUUCAUUUUAACAAUAUUGAAUACCGGCAAGACGUUAUGAACUUUUUAAUGUUGAUCAUAUUGAUGAUGCAUGGCAUUAGUGCCCUUUACUAUGGAAAUGUUGGUAAACGUGGUUGUCUAAGUUACAAUGGAACAUGUGUAGAACAAUGUCCCGAUAACAUGCACCGCGUCAACAGCGAAUGUCGCGCGACUCCAUCACAAAGGACUUGUGAUGAACCAGUCUCUAUUUCUUUAGGAAUAAUUUGCGGCUGGUCGCGAUGUGACUGCGAUUUCCCCCUCGUCCUUCAUCCAAGCUCUGGAUUUUGCUUCCUACUUGAAGAUUGUCCCUAAUUUAAUAUUGAACAAUUCCAUCGCUAUUCCGGAUAAAUGACAAUGGAAUUUACCUCGAGUAUCAGAGGUUUUUGGAUUAUACCAUUUUCCUUGUGUAAAAUAAAUGUAUUUUUCUUUA